CGAGAUUAGGGUUCGUGGGCUGCAACCUGGGCAUGAGGAAAUCUUGGGGUUGUGACGAGUUGCUAGAAGCGUAGGGCAUCUCAUCACCUUUCCCUAGAUAUGAGGUUCUUUGGAAACAUAGUUAUAUUGAGGAAGCACUGAAAGUUUGAAGUUUUGGUAGGAUAAGUCCCUUAUUUGAGAAAGGUGGCAACUGAGUAUGCUGGGCGUAUGUGUGUGUAUGCUUAGCGUACUUAUGUGCGUGAUUUUUAAACGGAGCCACCUAGUAUGCUGGGCUUACUAAGCACAGAGUGAAAACCCUAAUUUUGGGUGUGUCCCUAUAUAAAGGAUAUGAUGGCUCAUUCCUGGCCACCAUUCUCAGUCAACAAACCCUCUUAAACCCUCAUUCCUGGCCACCAUGAGUGGUAUCUAUGUGUGAACGGAGGGUCUUAUGUGCUUAAUUUAGUUAUAUUAUGCAUUUUGUCUGUGUGAUAUAUAUGCUAUGUUCUGUGCUUACUAAGAUAGGACCGGAGGGUCCAAACCGAGUUGUAGGACCGGAGGGUUUCCACUGAGACCGGACCAGAGGGUCCAAACCAAGCUGUGAGACCGGAGGGUCUUCACUGAGACACAGGACCGGAGGGUCCACACAAAUACACAUGAGACUGGAGGGUUCAUGCUGAGUUAUAUCCAUGAGAGGCUUACUAUUUAUGUAUGUGGUAUUUUGGGGAACUCACUAAGAUUUGUGCUUACUGUGUUAUGUGAUAUGUGUUUCAGGUUUUUAUCAGGAUCGCGAGAAGGCGCCGACUUGAUUGUACACACCAGAGAAAGAGUUAUGUUUUGAGGAUCCUGGAUUAUUAAUUAAACAAUUAUGAAGUUGUGUUGUAAAUUAAAUAAAUGAGAUUUUUGUGAAAUGUGUUAUGAGAAUUAUGUGAUUUUAAAAUGAAAAAUUUGUUUGAAAAUUUACGGUGUCACUAGUUGGUAUCAGAGCCGUGGUUUGAGGAUUCAGAUGCACCUUAGGGUAUAUCUAGACUCAAACUGAGGAUUUGAGAAAAUUUUUCAAAAGAAAUGAUUUUUCUAAAACGAGCAAGAGUUUCUAAGAGAAAACCGAGAAGGAGUAGUGUGUACAAUCAGCCAGAGCCUAAACGGUGAUUUCUCAAAAUACCCUUACUUAUUUGUGUUAUGAGUUAUUAUUGAGAUAUUAGUGAUGCAUGCUAGAUGGUAGGCUAGGUUUUUCAUAUUUUAGGGCUAGUGUUGUCUGAUUUGCGAUGCCUUAGCCUAGGAUUUUGCUAUCUGUGAUGUGCUUUGAGUAUGUGAUGAGUAAGAGUAUCCAACGAGAAUCUUUUAGAGAGAACUUUGAGUAGAGGAGUAAUCUAGGGGAGAUACCUAUAUGAGCAUUGGAGGAGCCUACUCAGGGAGUAGUUAGAUACCCGCUAGGGGUAGCGUUGCUUGAGUUCGGCGAUACCUUUUGAGUGUGAGUAGAGCAAGUGGAGUUGUAACCUAGAGUGGUUUUAUGUGUUGGUGUAGAUUUUUAGAUGCCCGAAUGCUGCUUGCUUCGUGCUUUGUGGAACUCUUGAUGAUGGGAGUCAGCUACUAGGUGAAUAUGAUGAUAUUCAAGAGGUAGAUGGCUGGCAUCAUAAGGAGUUCUUUAGCAGCUGAUGGCAGAGAAGUGAGAUAACCUAGGAAGAGCCUAGGGAGUGACCUUAGUUAGAUGGGUACACUGAUAGAAGAGAGUAUUUGCUGGGGUGCGACAGGGUUUAACGGGAUUAGUGAUCGAGAAGGUUGAGUAGCUACUUAGGAAAUCUGGGACGAUCCAUGUAGAAAGUAUGGGUAUAUGUGGCGGCUAGUAUGGGCCCGUACUACUGAAAGCAGAGGAACCGUACUCGAUACAGGGAGAAUUCCAAUGGUUCUAAGUAACAGAUUGAGAGGUGAUAACAUGGUUCAAGUACCAUGAUUCGUAGCAGAUUGAGUGGUGAUCACAUGGUUCGAGUACCAUGAUUUGUGGUGGUUAGUGCUUCUGGUUUUACCAGUUAUCACGUUGUGAUUGAUUAGACUGAGAUAAGAUAUGAUAGAGCGUGGGGCCAGAGGGCCAUUUCGAUCAAGCUUUAAUGGAGCAUACCUUGAGAAGGAAAUCGAGUUAGUUCCGAGAGAUUUUGUUGGCGAGAUUCCAAUUGGAGUCGUAAGACUUAGGGAUGAGUAGAGAUGAUGCUUAUUGGAGGAUCGCUGUCUGAGUUGAGUAAUCGACCGAUAAAUGAGACGUCACCUUCUGUGAUAAGAGUUGUUUUGUCCCCAUUUCCUGGGAAAAGUAAAAGGGAUAACGAGUUUCUGGUUUCAGAGUUUGGAGGUAAACCCUGUGUGGUAGGAUAUGGUGGUGACCUUUUCACCAGAGUAUUUGGUCAGUAUGUCUGUUGUGGGGUAUUUCUUGUACCAUGAAGGAGUCAUCACUGGGGACUGAGAUGAAAGAGACCAAGGAAGGUGCCUUUAUUAGUGAGGCAUGAUUUUUAGCAGCAGUUCCAGGAGAUUACGAGGAGUGUACCGGGGCAGUAGCCCUCGUUGCUUGCGUUAACCGACUGAAGCCUAUAGUUCCUAUGAUGAUCUGCAUGCUAAAAUGUUGGAUGGGGGAUCGGAGACCAGGUGUGAGAUAGUGCUUUAAUCUUGGAUUGAGAGUCAGGACUGAUUUGGGAUAGUUGGGAUACCCGACGGUGUGUCGGUACGAGGAUUUCAUCUGAGAUUUGGGAUAUUUGGAUUUGCUUGGUAUUUAUCGAGAAGAUCAUCGAGUGUUAUGUGGUACGUUCCAAGAUUCAAGUGUGAUGUACUUGGUAAAUUAGUCUAUGGAGUAGAUCGUUGGUAUGCCAACUGGUGAUGGUUCGAACCCUGAGUGGGGCAGAAUUGGGUAUUGCAUUAAGAGGAUCGACGAUCCGUUCAAGUACGGUUAAAGAACUGGUUAUGGAGAUCUGCGGUGCGGACUCAUGAGACCUGGGUUAUUAGUGGAUGAGGCGAGAUGAUGUAUGUGUAUGUGCUUUAGAAAGGAUGAGUGAAUCCACGGCAGGUGGCCGUUGGUCAGAGAAUUUAUUGCGACCAGGGAUUUUUCGGGUUUGAAAAUGUUGAGUUCGAGGCGGUUGGGUCGCUAAGUCAGGGUGCAAUAACUGAGAUUUGCGGGUAUAGGUAUAGAUUGUGAUCUAUACUCCCGGAGGGGCAGCAGUUGAAUUAUCAACCAAUUUCAGAAGUUGGUAUGAGUUGUUUGUAUGGGUAGUGAUUAGUAGAGGGUGGAGCUUCGGAUUUUCGUCAAUGUGUUUUCAGUCGUUGACGAUUCCUCCGUGUUUCAAUUUCUGAGAUGGGAAUAUUGCAAGGUUUCAAGUUGCGUAAGUGGAAGACCAGUGGUUGAGGCAAGACAUUGUGAGAUGUUGUGAUGGUGUACCGAGGUACCCGAGUGAUUUUUGUUCCAGCGGGAACCUAUCAGUUGAUUGUCGCUGGAGUGGGACUGUCUAAGAGUGUAUCUAUGCUGAGACUAGUGCGUUUCCUACGAGAACUUUCAUCAGGAGUGGUGCUGCAUAAGCUGGGUGGGUGUAACCACCUAUCUAUGUUGAGCUGCGGAGCAUGAGUUAGUGAAGUCAGUGUAGUGACGAAUUGAUGAUGAGAUUAUGCGGGUGAUAAGAGAGCAAGUGGAUUCGGGUGGGAGUAAUCGCUUGGGAUUAUCAGGAGAAACCAUGGAGUGAGCCCAUGGUGAGUCAGGGGGAGGGUAUCGUGGUACUGCGGGGAGCCGUAGUACUCAAUAGUCAGCGAGAUAGUGCCAUGGUAUUGUGGGGACCCGUAGUAUUCGCUGUUUAGCGAGAGAGUGUCGUGAUAUUGCGGGGAGCCGUUGUAUUCACUGGUUAGUGAGAGAGUGUUAUUAUAUUGCAGGGAGCCGUAGCAUUCACGAGUUAGUAUGAGGGCGUCGUAAGUCUGCGGGGAGCCGUAGCAUUCAUGAGUCACUAAAUGAGUGUUGUAAGACUACGGGGGGACCGUAGCACUCAAUAGUCGAUAAGAGAGAAUACUGUUCAGCGGAGAGAUGGAGUAUUCACCAGUCAGAUUAUGACGCAAAUGAGUUCCUAGGCUUGGGUAGCCUUACCACUUGAGUCUUCGGGAACCUAGUUGUCGAACCAGGAGUGAGGCUGGGGUCUCCUUGACGGUCGUGAAUCGUUAUAUCCCUGGGAUGAGGAGGGAUUAUCGUACUCGAAAGGAAUUGGAGAGAUGGUGCGUGUAUAAAUUCGCGAAUCUUGGGUCAUGAGUUGAGUAACAGAUUAGAAAUGAGUGGUUCCAAUUCUGCUGUUGAAUCAGACUCUCUAGCUUGAGUCUGGAUCCAUUCGUUUAUUGAGUAGGCGGGAUGAGGUUUCGGAUUCGUGUUGAGGGGUAUUGAUCUCCAUCUGAUGCCUUAGACCGGAGUGGGUCAGCUUUGUUGGUAUGGGAAGAACCACGAGAUGCAUGGAACUAGUAGGUGGUAGACAACAGAGGUCAGAGGUGAGACGAUUUUAGAUGGGGUUGUAGUAUUCGCUUGGGGUAAAGUGAACUUCGUGACUUGUGUGUCACGAUGAGCCUAGAUAGUUAUUAUGAGAAGGAAGUCGGUGAGCCGUUUUAUUGGGUGCACAGUGGCUAACCUUUGGAGGUUUAACUAUUGGGUCGGAUUUGACCUGGUGCUCAGUGUUGGAAGGAACAAUUGAGAGGAGCUAGGGCUUUUGAUUAAGGGUGUCAGAGGAUCGUUUGAGCUGACUUGACCACUUUCUUAUGCCUGAGGAUAGAGUUCUGAGGAUCAUUCCUUCAGAAGAGUUCUGAUAGCUGUUCAGGCGGUGGGUCCUUAGUGGGUUAUGACCUUUCCGUUCCUCUUGAGUUCAACCGGGAUCGAUUAGAGAAUCAGAGUUGGUGGAGUGUUCUUAGAGAUUGUUAUUCGAUGAGUGAUUAACAUGAUGAUGUUUUGCGAGGGUGGUCUGGAGGGAGACAUAUCACUAGAGUUUUCAUGUUCUGGAGAGUAAGAUCGAGUACCGCAGCACAGAAGGGUCUGUCCUUCUUCGGGGUCGGGAGUUCCUGUUGGGUUCAUGUGUCUUUGGAAGAGAUUGUUGUAUGAUAUGAGGUCCUUUCAGUGGUGCUUCUUAGGUUACUGGCUUCGAUCUAUGUGAUGAUAAGGAGUGAUUUCAAGGGCGAAAUCUAAUUCAAGUGGGGGAGAAUUGUAACAUCCUGUUUUAGAUCGUCUGUGAUUAGGGUUCGUGGGCUACAACCCGGGCAUGAGGAAGUCUCGGGGUUGUGACAAGUUGCUAGAAGAGUAGGGCAUCUCGUCACCUUUUUGUGGAUAUAAGGUUCUUUGGAAACAGAGUUAUAUCGAGGAAGCAUUGGAAGUUUCAAGUUUUGACAGGAUAAGUCCCUUAUUUGAGAAAGUUGGCAGCUGAGUACGCCGGGCGUUGUUUUAGAUCGUCUGUGAUUAGGGUUCGUGGGCUGCAACCCGGGCAUGAGGAAGUCUCGGGGUUGUGACAAGUUGCUAGAAGAUCAGGGCAUCUCGUCACCUUUUUGUGGAUAUAAGGUUCUUUGGAAACAGAGUUAUAUCGAGGAAGCAUUGGAAGUUUCAAGUUUUGACAGGAUAAGUCCCUUAUUUGAGAAAGUUGGCAGCUGAGUACGCCGGGCGUUGUUUUAGAUCGUCUGUGAUUAGGGUUCGUGGGCUGCAACCCGGGCAUGAGGAAGUCUCGGGGUUGUGACAAGUUGCUAGAAGAUCAGGGCAUCUCGUCACCUUUUUGUGGAUAUGAGGUUCUUUGGAAACAGAGUUAUAUCGAGGAAGCAUUGGAAGUUUCAAGUUUUGACAGGAUAAGUCCCUUAUUUGAGAAAGUUGGCAGCUGAGUACGCCGGGCGUACGUGU
rnacentral:lncRNA from 1 species